rnacentral:rRNA from 1 species
CCUACGGGAGGCAGCAGUGGGGAAUCUUGCGCAAUGGGCGAAAGCCUGACGCAGCAACGCCGCGUGCGGGAAGAAGGCCUUCGGGUUGUAAACCGCUUUCAGCAGGAACGAAAAUGACGGUACCUGCAGAAGAAGGUGCGGCCAACUAUGUGCCAGCAGCCGCGGUGAUACAUAGGCACCAAGCGUUGUCCGGAUUUAUUGGGCGUAAAGAGCUCGUAGGCGGUUCAGUCAGUCGGGUGUGAAAACUCUGGGCUUAACCCAGAGCCUGCACCCGAUACUGCUGUGACUAGAGUUCGGUAGGGGAGCGGGGAAUUCCUGGUGUAGCGGUGAAAUGCGCAGAUAUCAGGAGGAACACCGAUGGCGAAGGCACCGCUCUGGGCCGAAACUGACGCUGAGGAGCGAAAGCAUGGGUAGCAAACAGGAUUAGAUACCCUGGUAGUCCAUGCCGUAAACGUUGGGCACUAGGUGUGGGUUCCAAUCAACGGAAUCCGCGCCGUCGCUAACGCAUUAAGUGCCCCGCCUGGGGGAGGUACGGUCGCGAGACUAAACUACAANAGAAGUAGACGGCGNGAGACGUGCCGACGGACGACGACGAGGGAGAGG